GCUUCUAUGGUCUAGUGGUAUGACGUCCGCUUCACAGUAAUGCGCUGAAGGUCCUGGGUUCGAUCCCCAGUGGAAGCA